CAGACAGAUAAUGAGUUACCAGAGAAAGAGAAACUAGAUCACAAAAAAGAAGUCAGAGGAUAUAGGCUAGGGUUUGUAGAAUUCAAAUCUAACUUUUUCUUGAUUCUUUCACAAAACAACCACUGUUAAUGUCAAUAAUAUUUUGUUUGAUAGUCAUUUAGAACUAUUAACAUUCUUGUCAUUUCUAAAUCCACACCUUGAAUGCCUGAGCCAUUUUGCAUUAUUCCUGUUCUAAAACAAACAAACAAACAAAAAAACUUAGGAGAUCACAGUACAUUCUUGUUCAAAUUCAUUUAAAAAACACAGAAAAGUUUAGAGUCAAGAGAAAAGAGGCGACAUGUGAUUAGAUCUCCCUCUACCUGAGGUCACUGGAACACUUACUGUUAUUUUUUAAGUAGUAAUGAUAGCAUCAAGAGUGCAUAGGAACUCGGUGCCUUUGUUCAUAUUCUAGAUUUGACUGAACUUUAUUAAUUUAUAUUUCCUUUUAUUGAAAAUAUAUUUUUUCUCAUCUAAUGAUCGUUAUUAUGGUUUUCCCUGCCUCCACUCUUCCCAGUUCCUCCCCAUUUCCCCUCCCAUCCAGAUCUACCUCCUUCCUGUCUGUACUUUAAACCAAGUUGCAGAUGAAAAUGUUUGUGUCUUCAUUUUGGAAAUGUGUCUAGGGAGAAUGAGUUAAAAAGUUCUCUAGCCUUUAGAUAAAAAUAUUCUGUCCAAUAGUGAUACCAAGAAAAUGGAACCAUGAGCAUGGACAGCCAUUCCUUAACAGGACAGUUGUUACAGUUUUGGAAUGGUGCUGCUUGUAUCAACUCACCUCAUCAAAUGUGUGUUCAUUAAUUCCACACACUGUUUUGAGAAACAAAUUAACAUCAUUUGAGUGUCACCAAUUACAGGACGGUGGGACUUUGUGCCAUUCCUUGCUCAAGGUGUUCAGAGCUAUAUUGAAAGUAAAUUUGUGUGAUUCUGUACCCCAGUUUUUGAAUUCUCUGAAGCUGCCACUUGACAUCCAUGUGGUGUAUCUCAUACCAGGACAGAUCUUUGGCUUAGAAAAGGACCUCCUAAUCUUGAAAAUAGGUUCAGAUUUCCUAUGUAAGUAGGCAUAAUAAAGAGACAGUCUAGUGUUGGACAAGAUGUGUGUGUGGAAGCAAUUGUAAAAUGCACCAUCAUUUUUGUGAAUAGCUUUUAUUAUGGUACUUCAAAAGGCUCAAAAUAGCUUAUUUGUAGUCUAAAAAUAUUGCUUUUUUUCUUUUCUCUCCCCACCACCCCCAAUACCAUAUGUUUGCUUAAAACAUUUUGGGCACAGAAAGGGAGAAAUGUAGCAUUUCUUUCAAAAGCUCCAAUUUGAGGACAGCAGGAAAAAAAACAGUUGCAGUGCAUCCUAAGCAACUGAAGACAGAACGUGUAAAUGAAAUGUUAGGCCAGUAAAUAGUAAAUGCUUAAUUAUCUGAGGAAACCAGGGUGAAGUUUUAGGACAGUCCAAGCUUUGCUCCAGGCAAGCUAGAGUAUGAAAAAUGACCUGCUUAAAAAUAAACCAACUUAAUUCAUUGACCUUUUUUUUUUUUCUUUUUCUUGAAACUAAGACCAUCUUUCUUCAUUGGAUACAAAUAACAUUUGUCUCAGUGGAACCUGUAAAAAGGAGCAAAGAAAAAAAUACUCCUUAGGGGGAAAACCAUGUAAUAAAUGGUUCUCUUUUAGAAAAAUCAAGAUAAUAAUGGAGUCUUCAUGGAAUGCCUUAACAGAAUUGAGUUGGUUUAAUGCCUUCAGAGUCAGUGAUAAAUUACAAACACGCAGGGCACAGGGUCUCUUUUUAAUCAGGAUUGCAUAGGUUAACAUGGCUACAGGACCAGCUUCGUGUGUGUCUUUGAGAAGGAAUAUUCAGUCAGAUGUUCUCAGGCAGGCCAAACUUGCUGGACUAUACAUAAAUGGCUAGAAAUGACUUCAUAGCUCACAUUAAUUGGUAUUUAUUCAACCUCCACAUGCUAAAUCAUGCUCUAGGUACUCAGGGUAAGACAUUGUGCAUAACAAAUACUGAAUGUACAAUAAAUUU